rnacentral:rRNA from 1 species
AACGCGAAGAACCUUACCAAGGCUUGACAUAUACGAGAACGGGCCAGAAAUGGUCAACUCUUUGGACACUCGUAAACAGGUGGUGCAUGGUUGUCGUCAGCUCGUGUCGUGAGAUGUUGGGUUAAGUCCCGCAACGAGCGCAACCCUCGUUCUUUGUUGCCAGCACGUAAUGGUGGGAACUCAAAGGAGACUGCCGGGGUCAACUCGGAGGAAGGUGGGGAUGACGUCAAAUCAUCAUGCCCCUUAUGUCUUGGGCUUCACGCAUGCUACAAUGGCCGAUACAAAGGGCUGCAAUACCGUAAGGUGGAGCGAAUCCCAAAAAGUCGGUCUCAGUUCGGAUUGAGGUCUGCAACUCGACCUCAUGAAGUCGGAGUCGCUAGUAAUCGCAGAUCAGCAACGCUGCGGUGAAUACGUUCCCGGGCCUUGUACACACCGCUACAGU